UACGAAGGGGGCUAGCGUUGUUCGGAAUCACUGGGCGUAAAGCGCACGUAGGCGGCUUACUAAGUCAGGGGUGAAAUCCUGGAGCUCAACUCCAGAACUGCCUUUGAUACUGGUGAGCUUGAGUCCGGAAGAGGUGAGUGGAACUGCGAGUGUAGAGGUGAAAUUCGUAGAUAUUCGCAAGAACACCAGUGGCGAAGGCGGCUCACUGGUCCGGUACUGACGCUGAGGUGCGAAAGCGUGGGGAGCAAACAGG
rnacentral:rRNA from 1 species